rnacentral:lncRNA from 10 species
UGCUUGGAACCCAGCCACCAUAAAGCCUGCUAGCUAAAAAAAAUUUUACAUCUCUCAGUUCAUUCGGCACAGACCCCUGCCUCAUUCAGCUGUGACUCUGCUUGGAAAAUUCAUCAGUUACAAAGCAGCCAAUGCAAUUAUCUCAAGGCAUUGAAUUCUGCAUCUUUUAGUGAAGAAAAUAACUGAACAUGGUUUUCUUCUGAAGACACAAAGUCCAAAGGCCAAUCACACACCUCUUACAUCGAUCUCUUGAUGCAACCAUGGCAUCCGGCAAUAGCCAUCUACCUUGCAAUAUUUAUAAUUACUCCUCCCUGUUCCUCAGUCAAGCGCACCAACCAGAAAAUUCCUUUCCACCUAUAUUCCAUCCUGAUUCACAGCCAGUGAGAUUUUAACAAGCACAUAUCAGCCACAGUAUGCCAGGGGCUUUCAGAACACCACCUUUCCACCAGCAAUGGGAUGCUCAGGGCCAGCCGCCUGGAGGGUGGCUUAGCCCUAAAAUCCCCUUUACAGCCCAUUUUCCUGGACCAUUAGCAACCAUCAUACUAGGUCAAGUUCCCCAGGAAGAAGACUAUUCGACUAAGAUUUGCAUGGAAAACUUUAUUCGGAGCAGAUCUGGGGACAAACACUGCAAGGCAGGGACACAAGUAGGUUCAAUCAGAGGAAGAGCCUAGAUGGCAGUGCAGCUUCCAGAAGAGACUCCACCCACCCCACAGGCAGCUUGCGCUCUCCAGAGUCCCCCCAGAUAGACAAGGGAGCUGCACC